AAGCGGAGGAGCAUGUGGUUUAAUUCGAUGAUACGCGAGGAACCUUACCUGGGCUCGAACGUAAGAUGACUGUAGGUGAAAGCUUACAUCUCUUCGGAGCAUUUUACGAGGUGCUGCAUGGUUGUCGUCAGCUCGUGCCGUGAGGUGUCGGGUUAAGUCCCAUAACGAGCGCAACCCCUACCUUUAGUUGCCAUCAGGUUAAGCUGGGGACUCUAAAGGAACUGCCUACGCAAGUAGUGAGGAAGGCGGGGAUGACGUCAAAUCAGCACGGCCCUUACGUCCAGGGCUACACACGUGCUACAAUGGCCGAUACAGAGGGCAGCUACCUGGUGACAGGAUGCAAAUCUCCAAAGUCGGUCUCAGUUCGGAUCGGAGUCUGCAACCCGACUCCGUGAAGUUGGAAUCGCUAGUAAUCGCGCAUCAGCCAUGGCGCGGUGAAUACGUUCCCGGGCCUU
rnacentral:rRNA from 1 species